rnacentral:rRNA from 1 species
GUGGGGAAUAUUGCACAAUGGGGGAAACCCUGAUGCAGCAACGCCGCGUGAACGAUGAAGGCCUUUGGGUCGUAAAGUUCUGUUCUAGGUGAUGAAAACUGACAGUAACCUAGGAGAAAGCCCCGGCUAACUCCGUGCCAGCAGCCGCGGUAAUACGGAGGGGGCAAGCGUUAUCCGGAAUUAUUGGGCGUAAAGGGUACGUAGGUGGCCUUUUAAGCGUAGGGUAUAAGGCAAUGGCUCAACCAUUGUUCGCCCUAUGAACUGGAAGGCUUGAGUGCAGGAGAGGAAAGCGGAAUUCCUAGUGUAGCGGUGGAAUGCAUAGAUAUUAGGAGGAACAUCAGCGGCGAAGGCGGCUUUCUGGACUGCAACUGACACUGAGGUACGAAAGCGUGGGGAGCAAACAGGAUUAGAAACCCUAGUAGUCC